GGGAUUAGAUACCCCACUAUGCCACGAAAUAAACUACGACCACACUGUUCGCCAGAAAAUUACGAGCAAUUUUAGCCUAAAACUCAAAAGACUUGACGGUGUCCCAACCUACCUAGAGGAGCCUGUUCCAUAAUCGAUAAUCCACGAUCAACCCUACCACCCAUCGAACCCAACCCUUUCAGCCUAUAUACCGCCGUCACCAGCUUACCUUUCAAAAGCAUUAAAGUGAGCAUAAUAGUAUUUUACUAACACGUCAGGUCAAGGUGUAGCUUAUGGGGUGGCGCCAAUGGGCUACAUUAUCUAAUAUAGAUUACCUACGAAUUAUUUUUUGACAAAAUUAUAUAAAGGCGGAUUUAGCAGUAAAUUAAGCAAGAAUACUUAACUUAACACAUGCCCUGGGACAUGUACACACCGCCCGUCACCC
rnacentral:rRNA from 1 species